rnacentral:lncRNA from 1 species
CUUACUGAAGAGUAGCCCUACAGCAGUCACUUCGCAGUUUGCAAUUCAUUUGAGGUUCAAAGCUAGCUCAAGGGAAAACAACGUGCUUACCAUGGGGCUGCGCAGGUGGAAAGCAGCCCAGUCUUACUAUGAGGAUGUCCGUUUGCCAUCUGGGAACAAGGAGGAAGAAGCAGAGACCUGGGCAAGACCUCAGAGAAUAAAUUAUCUCAAUGGCUACUUACAUGGUCCAGCAUAGCAGAAAAAAAAGCCACACUGAGCAAGCAGUGGUCCUUUCCAUGCUACACAAGCAAGAAAUGCCUAUAAAGACAGACUUGAGUGCAGUCUAAAGAAUCUUUUGCUUUGCCUUAACACUCUACUUCUGGAUAUCCUUGCUCAAAAAGAAGUCUACUCAAGGUGUGUAUCUUUCCUCUUUAUAAGCCCUCUGGCCUCAGGAAGACUGGUUUCAUUCAUGUGGUCAUGUUUUUGCACAGCUUAAGACUAAACUGUAUGAUCCUUCCUUCUGGGCUCCUACAAGGGCAUGCCAAAGUCCCCUCAAAUAACCAAAACGGUGCACAUCCCCUUUGCGUCCCACAGCAGUCUGCUAGUUUAUGUAAUACCAUAAUGACAGCUAUCUGGAGUGGAACAGUGACACUGCUUUUUCCCAGACUACUUCACCAUGUGAGGUAAACGGUAGAGGCAGCAAUAGGUCUGCUCAGUCUAUGGCUAAUACAAGACCUUGCUUAUGAUAGACUUCAAGAGCUUCUUAUUAGCCAGCUGUUAAUUCAUACAAACUGCACAGAAAUUCAUUCUGGAGCAAUAUUAUUUGUUUCACAUUAUACUUAACCUUGAAAAGGUUAGUUUUUCAAUGGGGGAUGAUUAUCCUGGAUAGAUGCAUACCCCCUACAAACAUGAAACUGGCAAGUUCACUAAAGAUUUCUCAAGAGCCACCAAGCUAGCAAAAGUCGCAACCAAAUAAUAUUAUAUACUCUGCCCUUCAGAGCAACCUUCUUCAUGCUGAAGUCUUCAGUUCACAGAAUGACUGACUUAUUUUCAAAAGAGGAAGGCUGUAUUGCAUAUUGUAACUCUCUCCAAAUCUAUACUUAUGAGCUAAUUCUUCAAAAGGUAAGAUCAAUUACCACACAGAAGGAGAAGCCAUCCAUUUUCUUGAAGCUGUCAAAAUUUGAGCUGUCUCCCAUAGGAUUUCCACUGACAGUUAAUGAAAAAAAUCAGUAUCUGUCAAUUUUGGAAGAAAUUUAAAAGUGGUAAGAUAUUCUUAUAAAUCGAUGUUAAAAUUUUGGUAUAAUUAUUGUAUAUUUGGAUUACUUUAUUUGCUUUCCUCCAAAUCAUUUCUUUACUAAAUUUCCCUAAGUUAGCUUAAUAAUGAGGUUUUCUUAAGGAGAAAUCUGUUGGUUAUACACAUAAAUUGCUAACA